CGAAAGCUCAUUUACUUUCCUAACUAACUCAAUUUCACAUUAUUUUCACAGCAAAAUGGCGCAGAAGGUGGUCUUGAAAGUUCUAACCAUGACCGAUGACAAAACCAAGCAAAAAUCCAUAGAAGCUACUGCAGAUAUCUUUGGUAUUUUGUCAAACACCUAGCAUACAAUAAUAUCUUUUUAAAACAAACAUCAGAUCUCGGUUGCGUGUGAUUAUCCUUUUAUGGGAUACUGUUACAAAUCAGGGCAAUUACAGGCUCCUUUUGUUUUGUGUGGGUGGUCGGGUUGAUUCGAUAGCGGCGGAUCUAAAGGAUCAAAGCUGAGGGUGAUAGGGGAGAUGGAUGCAGUGUGGUGAAGAAGCUGAAGAAAGUAGGCAAAGUGGAUAUAAUAUCAAUCAGACCUGCUAAAGAAGAGAAGGAAGAGAGGAGGAGGAAAAGAGGAAAAGGAGAA